rnacentral:rRNA from 1 species
UUCUGGUUGAUCCUGCCGGACCUGACUGCUAUCGGAUUGAUACUAAGCCAUGCAAGUCUUUGUAGUAAUACAAGGCAUACGGCUCAGUAACGCGUAGUCAACCUACCCUAUGGAUGGGGAUAAUCUCGGGAAACUGAGCAUAAUACCCAACAGAUCAUCAAUUCUGGAAUGGUUGAUGAUUCAAAUGAUUUUUCGCCAUAGGAUGGGACUGCGGCCUAUCAGCUUGUUGGUGAGGUAAUGGCCCACCAAGGCAAUUACAGGUACGGGCUCUGAGAGGAGAAGCCCGGAGAUGGGUACUGAGACAAGGACCCAGGCCCUAUGGGGCGCAGCAGGCGAGAAAACUUUGCAAUGUGCGAAAGCACGACAAGGUUAAUCCGAGUGAUUUCUGCUAAAGGAAUCUUUUACCAGUUCUAAAAAUACUGGCGAAUAAGGGGUGGGCAAGUUCUGGUGUCAGCCGCCGCGGUAAAACCAGCACCUCAAGUGGUCAGGAGGAUUAUUGGGCCUAAAGCAUCCGUAGCCGGCUCUGUAAGUUUUCGGUUAAAUCUAUAUGCUCAACGUAUAGGCUGCCGAAAAUACUGCACAGCUAGGGAAUGGGAGAGGUAGACGGUACUCGGUAGGAAGGGGUAAAAUCCUUUGAUCUAUCGAUGACCACCUGUGGCGAAGGCGGUCUACCAGAACAUGUUCGACGGUGAGGGAUGAAAGCUGGGGGAGCAAACCGGAUUAGAUACCCGGGUAGUCCCAGCUGUAAACGAUGCAGACUCGAUAAUGCAUUGGCACAUAGCCAGUGCAGUGUCGCAGGGAAGCCGUUAAGUCUGCCGCCUGGGAAGUACGUACGCAAGUAUGAAACUUAAAGGAAUUGGCGGGGGAGCACCACAAGGGGUGAAGCCUGCGGUUCAAUUGGACUCAACGCCGGAA